AUCUACUGUUUCAUCUUAGGUGGUAAAACAGGACGGACCGCCCCUUCUUCUCCUGAUGGGAUUCAAUGACAUACCAGCAAAUUCAGGUUGUGCAGUUAUAGCUGAUGUGAAGCUUUUGUGCAACAAACUCACUUCUCUAAAAGAUUAGGCUUUUGCAGUAAGGAAGGUGAUGGGGAAAAGAAAUGGAAAGUGUGGGGAAAUGCUUCCUUUAAAUCAAUGUCAUCUAGCCUCAGGGCCCCCCGGAGACAUUUUGAUGCCCGAUGCAGCCCCCACUGUGCUGCUGCCGUGCCCUCAUUUCCCCUCCUGGUGGUGCAGCUCUGCAGGGGCUUUUCCUUGAGGAGGACCCUUGCAGAACCUUGCCACAAUUGGAGGUGAGGACUCAAGACUACUUAGAUGGCGCCCUGAGGUGCCAUCCAGUACCAGUGUGUAAGCAAGCCACUGCUGCGAGUAAUGAGGAGGCAGUUGUAAGAAGUGUGUCUUGCCCUGCUCCCCCUUCCCUUCCUCCUCCUUGCUUUCACAGCCUGCUCUCCUGCCCUCUCCAAACAUCUCAGCAAUGGCAAGAGUGAAGAGAUGAAGCUACACUCUCUUCUUGAUUUGCAUUCUCCCUCUUUGAAAGCUUGUGUUUUGGCUUCAGAAGCUAUCCCCCAGAUGUCUUUAAAAAGCCCACAAGCAGGAGAUGAAGGCAACUGUCCUCUUCCUCUGCCAUUCCCUGGCAAUUAAUACCCAAGUAACAUGUUGUUUCUGAACCUGAAGGCUGCUUUUGGCCAUUGUGACUAGUAGCUAUUGAUAGACCAUGAAUUGUUCUAAUUCCCUUAAAAAAAUUCCUAAACUGGUUUCCAUCAGCAACUCUCAUGGCAGUUAAUUCUAUAGACCUCUCUGAAUUUUGCAAUGCAGUUCUUCUUCCAAGCACUGGGUACAAAAACAUGUACAUAAAAAUGAACAUUUUCAUGAAAACAGUCUCUGAAUUGCAUUAUAUUUCAGGGGAAAUGCUUGCAAAAAUGUGUAAGUUUGCAUUAAAAUCAUGAAUCUUCAAUACGAUUCCUUUUUUCUCUAUUAAAGGCAGAUGGGCUGCACAAAUGUAUAGAACUGCAGUUAAGAAUGGAAAAAUGAGAAACUGAGACAACUGAAAUUGAGAGAUUUUGUUGAUCCCAACUCCAUCCCCCUGAUCAUUUUGGUUGCUUUUUAACGUGCUGUUGCCCUAGGAAGGUCCCCACCCCCACCCCCAGGGCUUAAGUUAGCAUGACAGACAGGGUGUCAGUGUGCAUUUACCUGCUGUAUUAGAAUGAAAGGCUAACUUGAUUUUAACCUGAGAGUCAAAUGGCUUGGUAUUCCUGUUUCCUCUCCCGGACAUCCAUCAACUUGAUGCAUGCUCAUAAAAUAAAGAAAGGUUCCAGUCCAGUGUGACAGCAGUGAGCAUGUGUGCAGGAGAGAGGAGAACCGGCUUGUGCCACAGUAUCCCUUUAAACCCACCUGCUUGUCCACCAAUGACAACCCCAGCACUGACAUUUCCAAUCUCUUUUCUUUCAUGCCACAUUCAUGGAAAAGAGACCUGCUGUAUUUUGAGGAAGCUCUGGAAUCCCGCGGGAGAAGGAUCUCUCGAGCAGUGUGGCAAGCUGCCAAGUACAGCUUGUUCUGAAAUGCACUCUCUCUUAGAAGUUGCAUUGUCAACUGAGACACAAUGUCCGUUUAAUGGGAGGUAGUUCGGACUCUUGAUUAGCUGAGUUGUUACUUAGCAGCAUUUCCUCUGGGGCACAAUCUCUCUCCUGCUACUGCUGGGCUCUGCUGCUUCUUUCCUCCCCACUUUGGCAUUAGGUUAUUGGACUGUGGGGCAGACCAGUCAAGAGGGUAGAGGACACAUGGAAAGACUUUGUGCCCUUCCAUUGCCUGGGGAGGCUUGAGCAGAUCUCCCUUGGCCCAUUCCUUUAUCAUUCCACAGGUCCCCUUUGCCUUGUAUUCUGCUCCUCUGGAAUUGCAAUGUAUUUAUUUGCAAAGGUUAAAUUCCACCUAUCUUUCAAGUUCAGGACAAUACAUAUAGUCCUCCCCUUUCCCGGUUUAGUCUCACAACAACCUUUUUGAGACAGGUUAGGCUAAGAGAUAGUGACUGGCCCCAAGUCUCCCAGUGAGCUGCAUGGCUGCGUGCAGACUUGAACCUAGAUCUCCCCCACCCUAAUCUAGCACUAUUACUGCUACAACAUGCUGGUGUAGCUGAAAUAAUUUCUUAAACUAAUUCUGGAAUCAGACCAUUGGACUAUCUAGCUCAGCAUUGUCUAUAUUGACUGGCAACAGCCCUCUGGAAUUUCAGGCAUGAUUCUCUACCCUACCUUGAAAUGCCUAGGAUUGAACCCGGGACCUUCUGAAUUCAAGGCAGAUGCUCCACCACUGAGCCCUUUCCCAAACAUUUAGCACUGCAACAUUUGGUUGCAGGUCUCAUUUCUAAACUAUAAUUCCCAUGUAAGCAAAACAUCAUUUGUGGAGCGGCCAUUUUCUGACAUGUGGAUGCUAACUGUCACACACACAAGUUGAUUGGCAAUUCUUUACCAUCAAUAUCAAUAAAUGAUCCACUUCAGCUUUGUCAGGGCUAGCUAUUAAAAUUCUGAUCUGGAGUCGAGUUUCACUUGCAACAUUACUGACUUUACAACAUAAAGUCAGGACAUGUUCCACUAUAGUAUCUGAAUGUGGCCCAUUUUUUAGAGGAGAAGGUAGAACAUAAUGUACCAGAAGGUAUUUUAAAGGAUCUAGUUGGCAUGGAAACUGAAUUUUUUCCUUCACAACCUCUUCCUGAACUAUCCAAUGUAACAUUAAGUUUUGAUUUGAAACAGCCCUGUGAGUAAUCCAGCUAGAGAGGUGGAAGUAAGAAAGUGGUUGUGGGGUGUGUGUGUGUGUGUGUGUGUGUGUGUAUGCGCACACACAAACAAUUGCCUUUAUUUUGCUAGCUUAUAAACAUGUUUUACCAGUCUUGACAGGAUUAUGGAGCCCAUUAAUCUAUGAAAGAGUGACAUGCAUUUUGUUCUAGUUCAUGCGUCAGUUCUUCAUUAAUUAAGUUCUGACUACGCAAUAUUUGUUCCUGAUUAAAAUAUAAAUAAAACAACAGAGAUAGAUAACUUUUUUUAAAAAAAUGUGUGAAUACUGAGCCUACACUGGCACCAUAAAUUUAUCUGGCGACAGCAGCCUAUCUAUUCUAUAUUCCCCUACCUGUUUUCCUCCAGAUGUUUCAUAUCUGCAUCUGGCUGUUCAUUGUGAGAGCAGGACACUGGACUAUAUGGUCCAAUUUGGUCUGAUCCACCAGGCCUCUUUUUAUGUCUUUAUGUUGCCAACAACCCCAGUUAGACUGGGGCUAAUGAGAGCUGUAGUCCAACAUCUGGAGUUUAUAUUAGGGAUGCUAAAAACAACAACACUUCACAUGUUUAAUACCUACUGGUCCCACCCCUCAUUGCUACAUGCAGUAAGCUACACCCACUGCACACCUGGAUUGUGUGAAGUGACCAUAUGCACAUACGCUCCUGAGCAUUUGGGGUUCCUUUACACAAAUGGGAAAUUGGAGACCAUCAGGAACCCUCCUCAUACAUGCACAGGAGCUCUCUCUGCACACACAGGUUCACACACAUAUGGCCCCACCAAAUGGCAGUGUCUGUAUAACAUGAGCAUGGAGGGAGCAUGGGCAGCACAUGCAAACACACUGCCCUUUCCCGUGUUUGUAAAUGUGGUGUGCAGUGCAAAUGUGGUGUGCCAUGCAAGAGCAAGAACGAGACUGAGAGACUUCCUAUUGUAAAUCUUAAAUUAUUGUUCCAAUCUACAUUACAAUUUACACAUUGGGGGAGCCAGCCCCCAAAAAUGUUGCUGCCUGAGAAGAAGGAUAAGAUGGUGCCCCCUCCCAAUUCUACAUCCAGAAUCAGAAAGGAGUGGCAGGUGAAUCUUAUUUCAGCACUGCUGAUUGAACAGCAUUCUCCAUUGUACCAGAAACAGUAGGGCAGUUUAGGAAGUUUAGAGCAGACCAGCCUAGGGAACUCUGACUAGAUAGAGGACUGUUGCUGUGUCCCCUACCCUCAUUCUUGGCCUCUCAAUACAUCUUUUUUAUUGUGCAUUCAUGAUUAUUUGUGCUCCUGAUGUUUUCAGGGCAGUCAUACACAAUCCCUCUUUCAGUAAUAUUUGCACUUGUUUAGGAGUGGUCACGUUGCUUCAUAUCCAUUUGGUGCAUGUCCUCCAACUUCCUGCUGAAAUCCCCUAACUUUUCAUACCAAGCACGAGCUGUAUUUCUACUGGGUGAAUAUAAGCCACGAGGGGGUCCUUGGAGUGACCCCCUACUGCAUCUCUUAGCUUCCUCUCUGCCUCUUGUCCUUCUCUUUUACCCCUCUGCUGGCUGCCUGAUGGCAGAGGAACUCAAAGAAGGGCCUCAAGAGUAGCAGGGCAGGUUCGUAUUGCAGGGAGGGAGCUGGGGUGCAUGUGGGUAAACCAAUUUGCACAUCCUUAGGCUAUGUCUAGGUUGAGAAUGAGUGCUGAAAAGUCCAGCCAAAAGUUUCAUGGAAGCAUAGGUUGCAAUUCUAUUUAUUAUUGUUAGCCGCCCUGAGCCCGGCUUCGGCUGGGGAGGGCGGGAUAUGAAUUAAAAUUUAUUAAUUUAUUAUUUAUUAUAUGCACUUUACCUGGAAGUAAGCCCCUUGAGCAUAGUGGAACCUGCUUCUGAGUAAAUGUGUACAGGUCUGUAUUGCACAACACAGCUCAGCAGGAAGCUUCAUGGCUAGAUGAGCCAUUUGGUGUUAGUUUUAUUAUCCACCCAAACACUGACUAGCUUUGACUAAAGGGCACCAUUUCAUUCUCAUGCUAUUUAUGUGCAUUGGGAAGAUGAUUUUUGACAGGUUCUCUGUUGUGGUCCAACUGUAAGAGAUAAGCAGGUAAACUGGUUUUAGAAACAGCCAUAUAACUUCUGGCCAUAUUCUGCAACUGUUUGCUUUACAAAACUCAGUGAAAAGCUUCCCCCUUCCUUUCAAAAUACCAGAUGAAUUUAUUCAACAGCAUUUCAGUAUGAAUUUUCCCCUAAUAAACAAACCUUUGUAUGCAAUGUUGCCUAAUAUACAUGUUUUUGCGAAGUAUAUUUCCUGUAACAUUUAUAUUUCCCCUAACAUAAUGCAUUUUGUAUAUUAUUUUCAUUAAUAUAUACAUUUUAUGCACAGUUUACCUUACUACGUGCAUUUUUGUAAACAUUAAAUGACAUUGCAAAAUUUGGAGAAGUACAGAUUUCAAAAAAUGACUGUGUUUCAGUUCACACCCUGCUCCAAAAAAGUGUGAGGUAGAUUCAACUAUUGUGUUAGCGUGUCUGCUUUGCAUGGAGAAGUCUCCAAUCCCUGGUAUCUCCAGUUAGGACCAGGAGUGCCUCCUCCCUGGAAUCCUGGAAAACCGCUGCUAGUCUAUGUAAACAGUAAUGAACUAGAUCAGGGUUAAGGACUCACCUUAUUUCUGUCAUCUUAAGUUCUUUUAAGUUGUUUUUUAUAGUGUGAAAUAUGUACUAAUAUUGUGUUUCAAUAGUUGUAACACACACUAGAACCUUGGGUUGAGGGGUGGAUAAUAAAUUGUAGUAGUAAUAAUAAUAUUGGUGUGAGAGUAUUGUUUAUCUGGCUUGAUUUGACAAAAACUGCUUGCGAACUUUGUUCCUGUUGAUAUUGGUGUUAAAAUCUUUUAAGUUCUGCUCCCUCUUGAGCACAAAGCUGCUCUGAUUUCACAGAGGCAUCACAGCAAUGGAGGCAACAGCAUUUAAGGUUGCUGUGACCAUUUUCCCUGAAAAAGUUCAACUGGACAGCUAAUUUGAUGAGACUAGAUCACUGAACGUACUUCCAAGCUAAGUGCUCGAAAGAAACCAAAUCAUUUGAAAUGUUACAAAAUGAUAACUUUCUCUCUCUCUCCCACCUCCCUCAUUUCAAAUUCUAGCAAAACAUGUAUAGAUAUGAAUAGUCAAGUAAUAGCUGAAAGAUUAGUCAGGUCAUUUUUCGUUUCCUGUCAUUAUCAUUAGUAAGAUUUAGUCAUUCUCUCUUGUGUCACAGUGACAUUUUAGUUUUCAAGGCUCUAUAGAGACAACCGGCAUGAAAUCGUUCUGUCGAGUAGUUAAGAGCUGCCUUUGCCAGCCUGGCUCCUGCCAGGUGUUUUGGAUUAGAGCUCAUUUCAGUGCCAUCCAACAAGGCUGUACGAUAGUGGGGCUGAUGGGAUAUGUCGUCCAAAAGCAUAUGGAGGACACCAGUUUGGCAAAAUCUGGUUUAGAGAGUUAAAAAACCAAGAUGGGAAUGAACAGUGAUGGCCCAGUUACUGUAACAGCAUGUCUGCAUGCGAACAAAUUUGAGGAACAGGUCCACCCGGCAUACUGUCCAGUGCACACUUAUACCUCACCAUUGCACUAUGCUUUGGUAUACAACACGUUGGUGGUGGUGGUGGUGGUGGUGGUGUCGUCAGCUUGUUCCAUUCACUAGACACUUUUAUGCUACAGCAACUCAAAGUGACUAACAAUAUUUUAAGUAAACUAACACAUACAAACAUUAAAACCAACAUUUAAAAAAUCUAAAAGACCAUU